rnacentral:rRNA from 1 species
CCAGACUCCUACGGGAGGCAGCAGUGGGGAAUAUUGGGCAAUGGGCGCAAGCCUGACCCAGCAACGCCGCGUGAAGGAAGAAGGCUUUCGGGUUGUAAACUUCUUUUCUCAGGGACGAAGCAAGUGACGGUACCUGAAGAAUAAGCCACGGCUAACUACGUGCCAGCAGCCGCGGUAAUACGUAGGUGGCAAGCGUUAUCCGGAUUUACUGGGUGUAAAGGGCGUGUAGGCGGGAAAGCAAGUCAGAUGUGAAAACCAUGGGCUCAACCUGUGGCCUGCAUUUGAAACUGUUUUUCUUGAGUACUGGAGAGGCAGACGGAAUUCCUAGUGUAGCGGUGAAAUGCGUAGAUAUUAGGAGGAACACCAGUGGCGAAGGCGGCCUGCUGGACGAUGACUGACGUUGAGGCUCGAAAGCGUGGGGAGCAAACAGGAUUAGAUACCCGAGUACCC